rnacentral:rRNA from 1 species
GACGGGGGAUGCGAGCGUUAUCCGGAAUGAUUGGGCGUAAAGGGUCCGCAGGUGGCCCGGUCAGUCCGCUGUCAAAGCCUGGGGCUCAACCCUGGAGAGGCGGCGGAGACCACCGGGCUUGAGUCCGGUAGGGGCAGAGGGAAUUCCCGGUGGAGCGGUGAAAUACGUAGAGAUCGGGAAGAACGCCAAGGGCGAAGGCACUCUGCUAGGCCUGAUUUCGCGACUGACACUCAGGGACGAGAGCCAGGGGAGCGAAUGGG